AAGUAUUUGUUAACUUUAUUUUUGUUACAAAACUCAUGUAAAUUGGAGAGGAAAAUAUUUUGUUUCCGGUUUGGUCACAUUGUUGGGGGGACAAUUAAUAUGUGACGGAAUAAGGGAAGUAGCAUGAGACAGCAAACAUUUGAUGGAAGAUGUUAAUGGAGUCUCGGCUUGGAAAGAAACUUUAUUCCCUCGGAGUUUGUGAGGCCAAUGAGUUCUGACGGCAUUUGUUCGGCAUUUUUUGGCAUCAUUUGGGAGGAGAAAAAGGCGUGGCUGAAAUAAAUGUCUGUUUGAGAAAAACGAACAACUUGAGCCUUGAUUAAGACCUCGGAGGGAGUAACAAAUACUACUAAAGGGAGAAGAACGUCCGAGAAGGCAUGAAUGAAAUUGAGAUAACAGAACAUUGACUGUCCCGCACUGACUUCUUCUGGAUGUAUGACAACAAUUGGCGCACUGCAAAAUACCCACAAGUCUUUGCAGAUUACUAACAAGGUAUGUGGCUUUUUACAGCCGGGUGUGCUGCUACUUCCUACGUUGUGGCAAAGUCGUACAAGAGAUAGUUCCUCCACUUGUUGCCGUCAUGUUUGAUCCGCGUAUGCUGACUCAGCUUCCGUU